GGUACGAUGGCCGAGUGGUUUAAGGCGAUAGGUUUAAGCUUAGCUAAACACGCAAGUAGCAUCAUACGAGCUGCUCCCUAUUGGGCGUAAGUCCGCGUGAGUUCGAUCCUCACUCGUACCA